GACGAACGCUGGCGGCGUGCUUAACACAUGCAAGUCGAACGGAAAGGCCCUGCUUUUGUGGGGUGCUCGAGUGGCGAACGGGUGAGUAACACGUGAGUAACCUGCCCUUGACUUUGGGAUAACUUCAGGAAACUGGGGCUAAUACCGGAUAGGAGCUCCUGCUGCAUGGUGGGGGUUGGAAAGUUUCGGCGGUUGGGGAUGGACUCGCGGCUUAUCAGCUUGUUGGUGGGGUAGUGGCUUACCAAGGCUUUGACGGGUAGCCGGCCUGAGAGGGUGACCGGCCACAUUGGGACUGAGGUACGGCCCAGACUCCUACGGGAGGCAGCAGUGGGGAAUAUUGCACAAUGGGCGGAAGCCUGAUGCAGCAACGCCGCGUGCGGGAUGACGGCCUUCGGGUUGUAAACCGCUUUAGCCUGUGACGAAGCGUGAGUGACGGUAAUGGGUAAAGAAGCACCGGCUAACUACGUG
rnacentral:rRNA from 1 species